rnacentral:rRNA from 1 species
UACGAAGGGGGCUAGCGUUGUUCGGAAUUACUGGGCGUAAAGCGUGCGCAGGCGGCUUCUCAAGUCAGGGGUGAAAGCCCAGAGCUCAACUCUGGAAUUGCCUUUGAGACUGAGUGGCUUGAGUACGAGAGAGGUGAGUGGAAUUCCCAGUGUAGAGGUGAAAUUCGUAGAUAUCGGGAGGAACACCGGUGGCGAAGGCGGCGACCUGGGUAGAUACUGACGCUGAGGUGCGAAAGCGUGGGGAGCAAACAGG